AGCGCCGAGACUGAACGUGAAAACGAGAUUAAUGCCGCCUAUAUUACACUGGUGUCAUUUUUGAUGAAGGAGUUAAGCAGGUGUUGUCAUUCAUGGCUCUUGACCAAUCACAGUUGCAUACACCCAAGUACAAGUUUUGAGGGGCGUGUUUGUAGUGAAGUUUGUUACACUUCAUUUCGUUUCACUUAUCUAAUUGAGUUAGCGUUUUUUCGGUGAAUAGUUGAGCGAGAAACCAUAAAUUAAUGAGGCAAGUAAAUUAUACGGAAUUUAUUAUUACAAUUAUUUGCUCAUGUUCUCCUUACCUAAAGAGAGAACCGUGUUAUGAUGGACGAAUGGACAAAACGGCACAUGUAGCAUGCAGCGCACGUUGCCAGCUGCAAGGUAGCUUUCUUCAGGAAACAGAUGGAGUCAUUAUGAUGAAUAAUUUAUGUGCCUUUCCUCUAUAUUAAGGAUAACUGUGUGCUUUACUUAGCCAAGCACCUCAAGCAUCACAGUGCUGCUUGUGAAAUUUGAAACUAGCACCAUAUAAACAUAACAAUUUCGGGCGCUCUCUGACCUGUCUCCACUGUUUGAGCGAGAUUGGAGCUUUAUUUAUGCACGGCUGGAUUCUUGUGUUUUAGUGGGGUCUACUGAGAGAUCUGUAGAGAGUUUAAUUGUUUUUUUCUUUUUGAAAAGUUUAUUGUGGCACUGUCUUACUGUAUUUAUUUAUCCAUCUUUUCCCUUAUCUAAAGCCGCUUGAACUGUUCAGGGUUGCGGGGGUACUGGAGCCUAUUCCAGAAUGCAUUUGGCGAAAGGCAGGAAUUACUGUAUUCAAUUGUAUGCAUUUAUUAUUAUUAUUAUUAUUAUUAUUAUUAUUAUUGCUGUUGUUGUCAUGGAAAAUAAGGUAGGCAGUGGCCCUGUCCCCUGGAGAGUAUUGUGUCAUUUGCCGUUUUUAGUUGAACACUGUGUGUCACAGGUGCUGAUUACCAGUUAAUUUUCCUCUGGAAAUCCUUGAGCACUGUGACUGCUAUUUAAUGUCAGUUCUUCUCCUUCCAAAGAGCAGAUAAGGCAUUUUUAUUUUAUUUUACCGCGUUAUGAGUUUUUUUUCUUCUAACAAAUUUUGUUCAAAGAACAACCUGCUUUUUUCUGCCGUUUUUAGUUCAGGAAGGCUACUUGCAUAAAGACAUCACGCCUGCGCUCCUGCCAUGUAUGUGAUGGUGUCCUGGUGGCAGCUGUACAGGCCUUGCACAUUUCUGCUUCCUCUGCAUGCAAAACUGUGGCAUGACCAGUGUGGCUCGCUCUCGUUUGCAGACAAGGGCAGUUGUCGCAUCCAGGACAUGACAAGCGCAUCUGACGGCGGCGACUGACUCCGGCAGAGCAAACAUGAUUUCAAAAAAAUUACUGAAAACGGUAAAAAGAGAAAAUGACAAACAGAAAGAACAAAUCAGCUGAACAAUGGAUGGUGGACUUAAUAAACGAUGUGUAAGUAAAUUAA